rnacentral:rRNA from 1 species
GAUGAACGCUGGCGGCGUGCCUAAUACAUGCAAGUCGAGCGAACGGACGAGAAGCUUGCUUCUCUGAUGUUAGCGGCGGACGGUUGAGUAACACGUGGAUAACCUACCUAUAAGACUGGGAUAACUUCGGGAAACCGGAGCUAAUACCGGAUAAUAUUUUGAACCGCAUGGUUCAACAGUGAAAGACGGUCUUGCUGUCACUUAUAGAUGGAUCCGCGCUGCAUUAGCUAGUUGGUAAGGUAACGGCUUACCAAGGCAACGAUGCAUAGCCGACCUGAGAGGGUGAUCGGCCACACUGGAGCUGAGACACGGUCCAGACUCCUACGGGAGGCAGCAGUAGGGAAUCUUCCGCAAUGGGCGAAAGCCUGACGGAGCAACGCCGCGUGAGUGAUGAAGGUCUUCGGAUCGUAAAACUCUGUUAUUAGGGAAGAACAUAUGUGUAAGUAACUGUGCACAGCUUGACGGUACCUAAUCAGAAAGCCACGGCUAACUACGUG